rnacentral:lncRNA from 1 species
CAAGACUAGGGUUUGAAUUCCAGCCCUGCCUCUAAGCUGUGGAGCCUGGAAUUGGAUGAAAGCCGCAUGACUGUGGUCAAGCCCCUCCUCCUCUGAACCUCAGCUUGCUCAUCUGUGAAACGGGAAGAGUCAUGUGGCAAUGCCCGGGUUUUUGCAAGAUCUAGACGUGUUGUCGCUGACCAGCAGCUGUCAUCCCUUAUGUGACCCUGCUCCCAGGUAACAGUGUGUGUGCAGGGAUGAACUCAUAACCUCCCUGGCCAAUUGUGCCUUUCCUUGGACACUACUGAGUUGGGCCUCACCAGGAGGAGUGGUUUCUUCUGUGGGCAAAGCUGUGAAGGCAAGAGUCUGGAAACUGAGAGAAGACAUCUUCCUCCACCACAUGGAGAAGAUGCUCUGUGAUAAGAAUCGGGACCACAAACUGGGAAGCAGCUCUGAGGGGCAGAGAGAUCCUCAAUGCACUUGAGUUCCUGAUUCCAGUUCUAGGAGAGCAGAAAGAGAAUGAUGGGAUUUGGACAUUAGUCACACUUUGUUCUACCACUUCCUGACUAUAAAGGAUAUUGGCAGUGAUCAGAGGUCCCAAGAUGGCUGAAUAGGAACAGCUCCAGUCUACAGCUCCCAGGGUGAGCGAUGCAGAAGACGGGUGAUUUCUGCAUUUCCAACUGAGGUACUGGGUUCAUCUCACUGGGGCUUCAGACAGUGGGUGCAGGCCAUGGAGCAGGGCGUGGCAUCACCUCACCAGGGAAGUGCAAGGGGUCAGGGAAUUCCCGUUCCUAGCCAAGGGAAGCUGUGACAGAUGGCACCUGGAAAAUCAGGACACUCUCACCCUAAUACUGUGCUUUUUCAAUGGUCUUAGCAAACGGCACACCAGGAGAUUAUAUCCCGAGCAUGGCUUGGAGGGUCCCACACCCAUGGAGCCUCACUCACUGCUAGCACAGCAGUCUGAGAUCCAACUGCAAGGUGGCAGCGAGGCUGGGGGAGGGGCGCCCACCAUUGCUGAGGCUUGAGUAGGUAAACAAAGUGGCCAGGAAGCUUGAAC